AUUGAACGCUGGCGGCAGGCCUAACACAUGCAAGUCGAGCGAGCGGCGGACGUGUGAGUAAUGUCUGGGAAACUGCCUGAUGGAGGGGGAUAACUACUGGAAACGGUAUCUAAUACCGCAUACCAUCAGAUGUGCCCAGAUGGGAUUAGCUAGUAGGUGGGGUAACGGCUCACCUAGGCGACGAUCCCUAGGUGGUCGGAGAGGAUGACCCGCCACACUGGAACGGAGACACGGUCCAGACUACUACGGGAGGCAGCAGUGUGGAAUAGUGCACAAUGGGCGCAAGCCUGAUGCAGCCAUGCCGCGUGUGUGAAGAAGGCCUUGGGGUUGUAAAGCACUUUCAGCGGGGAGGCGGUACCCGCAGAAGAAGCACCGGCUAACUCCGUGCCAGCAGCCGCGGUAAUAC
rnacentral:rRNA from 1 species